rnacentral:rRNA from 1 species
AGCGAACGCUGGCGGCAGGCUUAACACAUGCAAGUCGAACGAACCUUUCGGGGUUAGUGGCGGACGGGUGAGUAACACGUGGGAACGUGCCUUUAGGUUCGGAAUAACUCAGGGAAACUUGUGCUAAUACCGAAUGUGCCCUUCGGGGGAAAGAUUUAUCGCCUUUAGAGCGGCCCGCGUCUGAUUAGCUAGUUGGUUGAGGUAAUGGCUCACCAAGGCGACGAUCAGUAGCUGGUCUGAGAGGAUGAUCAGCCACAUUGGGACUGAGACACGGCCCAAACUCCUACGGGAGGCAGCAGUGGGGAAUCUUGCGCAAUGGGCGAAAGCCUGACGCAGCCAUGCCGCGUGAAUGAUGAAGGUCUUAGGAUUGUAAAAUUCUUUCACCGGGGACGAUAAUGACGGUACCCGGAGAAGAAGCCCCGGCUAACUUCGUG